rnacentral:tRNA from 1 species
GGGGGAGUAGCUCAGCCCGGUAGAGCACGGGAUUGAAAAUCUCGGUGUCGGCGGUUCAAAUCCGCCCUCCCCCA